AAGACACGCAAAGAAGAAAAAGAAGCCGAAGGAGAACCAUGAGUGUUGGUGUUGGCGGUUAGCUGCAGAAAAGAAGUUCCCUUGAAGUGAGCCACGUGUGGAUGUGACUUGCAUGGUUCAACUGCUGAAAUGUUUCCCCGAGUUCAGGUGAUGUAUUGAUAUAGAUGCAUAAUGACCUGACUGCUUUGCCUUCAUGUUACUUUAAAUUUGUUGUCAAAUAAAAUCAACUU